rnacentral:pre_miRNA from 12 species
GUAGUAGUACUGAUACCGCUCGAUUACUGAGACAUAGUCGUACAGCAAAUGUUGUGUUUCAAGUCAAUGUUAACUGUAAGACUGUGUCUUGGUUUUCGAGCACAUCACCGUUGGAA